rnacentral:rRNA from 1 species
AUGGGUGGCGCCGAGACGGAUCGGGGGCAGACCACCGAGUACCCCGUUAGCUCCACGUCCCCCGGCGGCAGGAUGGGCGGCGCCGCGUCGGACCAUGGCCAGACCAGCGCGGACUCUCGCGCCGAACCGGCCGUCCCCGAGCACCAGCGCGAGCUCCGUGCUCGUCUGCUUCCGCCGCGCCGCGGCCUCCAGGAGACGGCACCGCUGCCGAUCUACGACGAGCUCGUGGAAGAGAUCUUCCUCCUGCUGCCCACGCCAACCGAUCUGAUCCGCGCCUCCGCCGCCUGCGUCUCCUUCUACCGUCUCGUCGCCCGUCGCUCCUUCCUCCGGCGCUUCCGCAAGCUCCAUGCCCCGCCCCUCCUUGGCUUCCUCGAUCACGGCCGAGAAUUCAUCCCCGCAAUCCCGCCCCAUCCUUCCGCGCCCGCAGCCGACGCCCUCGCCCUCGCCGCCGACUUCUCCCUGUCCUUCCUCACCAGAGAACCCUACUUAACCCCCGCCCACUACUGGGAUAUCGAGGACGUCCGUGGCGGCCGCGUCCUCCUCAGCAGGCACCCCUUCCAUGAUCUUUCCCUGGCAGUGUGCGACCCCUUGCACCGGCAGUACCUCCUGCUUCCCCCAAUCCCUGCAUUCGAGGGCUGGGCUUCACUGUACAACCUAAGGACAGGAUGGCAGACCUUCCUUGGCGACGACGAGGAGGCCGUGGAAGAGACAUCAUUCACAGUGGUCUCGAUCUCACAGUGGGGAAAUUGGCUGGGAGCAAUCAUGUUCUCUUCCAGCACCGGACAGUGGCGACAAAGUCCAUGGAUUGGAGGAUUUGCAUUCUUCAAUCAGUGCCGGUACGCGUAUGGUUGCUUCUACGGGUUGACAGAGUGCAGGCAAAAGUUGCUGGUGCUUGACACAUGGAAAAUGGAGUUCUCUCUUGCUGACCUCCCACCUGAAGCGAGAGGUUCUUCGGAACGUGAUGUGGAUAUUUCCUUUGUGGAAGCAGGGGAAGGCAUCACUGGGAUGUUUGUGCAUCCAGGUAACACAUAUAGCAUCAGUUAUCUAACUAAGCGAAACAAUGGUGGGAGUUCCAGCCAGUGGAAGUUGGAGAAGACAAUCCCACUGGAUUUUACUGGGUCCAGGUUCAUGGGUUCAAGCGGAAUGCACUUGCUUCUGCGUUGUUGGCGAGAAUUCCCAUCGCCCGAUCUAGGCACUUUCACGCUUGACAUCAAAACAUUCCAGUUUGAGAGGGUCGCAUCACAGUAUGGGGCAUAUAUAUAUAGCAACUUCCCACCAUCAUUGCUGUCGUCGCCUACAAUAUCAAGUGGUGCUGAGAACGAGGCUGAGGAGAUGCUGGAACAAGGCGGCGCUGCAAGUUCAAGCGCAUAG